UACGGCGCUGGGAAGCAAGGCUUGUUCUUGUACAGCAGGCCUCUGAUGCUCACCUAAGGUACUUACUAUGAAAGAGCUAGUGGAAGAGGCAGCCGUCCUACACAGGGCAGCCAGGGAAGCCUUGCUCAGAGGUAAGAGAUCUGGACAGAGACCUUAGCGAGCAGGCCCUGAACUAUCUGGGGGAAGGAGCUCUACCAAAGGAACAGAAUGCAUACAGGCUCUAAGAAGAACCACAUUCAACAGGCAAUAGGACCAUCCACACACAGGAGUGCAAGACACACAGGAAAAUGUUUAAAUCAAGAUGCUCUCAGCAAAGGAGGGAGAACCCUCAUUAUUCAAGAACAGCACACUGGAGGAAUGCUUGCCAUUAAAGGGGAAGCCGGACCACCACAAAAGCCAACAACGUACACGAUCCCACGGCACCGUGAAGGGUGCUGUUGGAAACAAGCAUGGUAGCGCGCUGCGUUAACCCAGGACACAGACACAGGGGUUCUCUAUGAGCUCCAGGCCAAUCCAAGAUGGUAUUAUAAACCUUGUCUCAAAAAACAAAAGCCAAAAAAACAAAACAAGAUUCUGCUGGGUGAAACGAAGUCAUACACAAAGUAAUGUUUGAAUUUGGCAAAUCUGUUUUUUAUUUAGUGGUUACUCAGUUUCCAGUUGGAAAAACAAAACAGAGUAAACCCCAAAUAUCAAUAAAUAAUAUUUAUUUCUUAGUAAUUUUCUACA